AGUGAACGCUGGCGGUAGGCCUAACACAUGCAAGUCGAACGGCAGCACAGGAGAGCUUGCUCUUUGGGUGGCGAGUGGCGGACGGGUGAGGAAUACAUCGGAAUCUACUCUGUCGUGGGGGAUAACGUAGGGAAACUUACGCUAAUACCGCAUACGACCUACGGGUGAAAGCAGGGGAUCUUCGGACCUUGCGCGAGUGAAUGAGCCGAUGUCGGAUUAGCUAGUUGGCGGGGUAAAGGCCCACCAAGGCGACGAGCCGUAGCUGGUCUGAGAGGAUGAUCAGCCACACUGGAACUGAGACACGGUCCAGACUCCUACGGGAGGCAGCAGUGGGGAAUAUUGGACAAUGGGCGCAAGCCUGAUCCAGCCAUACCGCGUGGGUGAAGAAGGCCUUCGGGUUGUAAAGCCCUUUUGUUGGGAAAGAAAUCCAGCUGGCUAAUACCCGGUUGGGAUGACGGUACCCAAAGGAUAAGCACCGGCUAACUUCGUGCCAGCCGCCGCCGUAA
rnacentral:rRNA from 1 species